CCUACGGGAGGCAGCAGUGGGGAAUCUUGCGCAAUGGGCGAAAGCCUGACGCAGCAACGCCGCGUGUGUGAUGAAGGUCUUCGGAUCGUAAAGCACUGUCGGGAGGGACGAAUAAGGGUCCGUCUAACAAGCGGAUCCGAUGACGGUACCUCCAAAGGAAGCACCGGCUAACUCUGUGCCAGCAGCCGCGGUAAUACAGAGGGUGCAAGCGUUGUUCGGAAUUAUUGGGCGUAAAGCGCGUGUAGGCGGCCAAGCAAGUCAGGUGUGAAAGCCCUCGGCUUAACCGAGGAAGUGCGCCUGAAACUACUUGGCUUGAGUACCGGAGAGGAUGGUGGAAUUCCCGGUGUAGAGGUGAAAUUCGUAGAUAUCGGGAGGAACACCAGCGGCGAAGGCGACCAUCUGGACGGAUACUGACGCUGAGACGCGAAAGCGUGGGGAGCAAACAGGAUUAGAUACCCUGGUAGUCCACGCUGUAAACGAUGAGCGCUAGGUGUUGCGGGUGUUGACCCCUGCAGUGCCGCAGCUAACGCAUUAAGCGCUCCGCCUGGGAAGUACGGCCGCAAGGCUAAAACUCAAAGGAAUUGACGG
rnacentral:rRNA from 1 species